rnacentral:rRNA from 1 species
CGGAGGAUCCAAGCGUUAUCCGGAAUCAUUGGGUUUAAAGGGUCCGUAGGCGGUUUAGUAAGUCAGUGGUGAAAGCCCAUCGCUCAACGGUGGAACGGCCAUUGAUACUGCUAGACUUGAAUUAUUAGGAAGUAACUAGAAUAUGUAGUGUAGCGGUGAAAUGCUUAGAGAUUACAUGGAAUACCAAUUGCGAAGGCAGGUUACUACUAAUGGAUUGACGCUGAUGGACGAAAGCGUGGGUAGCGAACAGGAUUAGAUACCCUGGUAGUCCACGCCGUAAACGAUGGAUACUAGCUGUUGGGAGCGAUCUCAGUAGGCUAAGCGAAAGUGAUAAGUAUCCCACCUGGGGAGUACGUUCGCAAGAAUG